rnacentral:rRNA from 1 species
GGCGAACGCUGGCGGCGUGCUUAACACAUGCAAGUCGAACGGAAAGGCCCUGCUUUUGUGGGGUGCUCGAGUGGCGAACGGGUGAGUAACACGUGAGUAACCUGCCCUUGACUUUGGGAUAACUUCAGGAAACUGGGGCUAAUACCGGAUAGGAGCUCCUGCUGCAUGGUGGGGGUUGGAAAGUUUCGGCGGUUGGGGAUGGACUCGCGGCUUAUCAGCUUGUUGGUGGGGUAGUGGCUUACCAAGGCUUUGACGGGUAGCCGGCCUGAGAGGGUGACCGGCCACAUUGGGACUGAGAUACGGCCCAGACUCCUACGGUAGGCAGCAGUGGGGAAUAUUGCACAAUGGGCGGAAGCCUGAUGCAGCAACGCCGCGUGCGGGAUGACGGCCUUCGGGUUGUAAACCGCUUUCGCCUGUGACGAAGCGUGAGUGACGGUAAUGGGUAAAGAAGCACCGGCUAACUACGUG